GUAACGAUUUGGGCACUGUCUCAACAAAGGAUCCGGUGAAAUUGUAGUAGUCGUGAAGAUGCGACUUACCCACGCUAGGACGGAAAGACCCCGUGGAGCUUUACUGUAGGCUGAUAUUGGAUUUUGAGAUUAGAUGUACAGGAUAGUUGGGAGGCAUUGAUCCGUGCACGCCAGUGUGCGAGGAGCCAACCUUGGGAUACCAACCCUCUAAUAUCAAAAUUCUAACAUUGACCCUUAAUCAGGGCAAAGGACAUUGUCAGUUGGGCAGUUUGACUGGGGCGGUCGCCUCCCAAAAAGUAACGGAGGCGUUCAAAGGUUCGCUCAGAAUGGACGGAAACCAUUCGCAGAGUACAAAGGCACAAGCGAGCUUAACUGCGAGAGAAACAGCUCAAGCAGAGUAGAAAUACGGACUUAGUGAUCCGGUGGCACCGCAUGGAAGGGCCAUCGCUCAACGGAUAAAAGCUACCCCGGGGAUAACAGGCUUAUCUCCCCCAAGAGUCCACAUCGACGGGGAGGUUUGGCACCUCGAUGUCGGCUCGUCUCAUCCUGGGGCUGAAGUAGGUCCCAAGGGUUGGGCUGUUCGCCCAUUAAAGAGGCACGCGAGCUGGGUUCAGAACGUCGUGAGACAGUUCGGUCCCUAUCCAGCGUGGGCGUAAGAAAUUUGCGAGGACCUGUCCUUAGUACGAGAGGACCGGGAUGGACAUACCACUGGUGUACCAGUUGUUCCGCCAGGAGCAUAGCUGGGUAGCUAAGUAUGGAAUUGAUAAGUACUGAAAGCAUCUAAGUACGAAACAACCCUCAAGAUAAGAUUUCUAAAAGUACGUAAAGAAAAUACGUUAGAUAGGUCCAAGGUGUAAGUGCAGUAAUGCAUUAAGCUAAUGGAUACUAAACUUUAAAUCUUGACUGG
rnacentral:rRNA from 1 species